rnacentral:rRNA from 1 species
GACGAACGCUGGCGGCGUGCCUAAUACAUGCAAGUCGAGCGCAGGAAACUGACAGAACUCUUCGGAGGGAAGGCAGCGGAAUGAGCGGCGGGCGGGUGAGUAACACGUAAGGAACCUGCCCCAAGGAUUGGGAUAACUCCGAGAAAUCGGAGCUAAAACCGGAUAGUUCAUCGGACCGCAUGGUCCGUUGAUGAAAGGCGCUCCGGCGUCACCUUGAGAUGGCCUUGCGGUGCAUUAGCUAGUUGGUGGGGUAACGGCCCACCAAGGCGACGAGGCAUAGCCGACCUGAGAGGGUGAGCGGCAACACUGGGACUGAGACACGGCCCAGACUCCUACGGGAGGCAGCAGUAGGGAAUCUUCCACAAUGGACGAAAGUCUGAUGGAGCAACGCCGCGUGAGUGAUGAAGGUUUUCGGAUCGUAAAACUCUGUUGUAAGGGAAGAACACGUACGAGAGGGAAUGCUCGUACCUUGACGGUACCUUACGAGAAAGCCACGGCUAACUACGUGCCAGCAGCCGCCGUAAUAC